rnacentral:rRNA from 1 species
GCUGGCGGCGUGCCUAAUACAUGCAAGUCGAACGAGAGCGGCCGGUGCUUGCACUGGUCAAUCUAGUGGCGAACGGGUGAGUAACACGUGGGUAACCUGCCCAUCAGAGGGGGAUAACAUUCGGAAACGGAUGCUAAAACCGCAUAGGUCUUCGAACCGCAUGGUUUGAAGAGGAAAAAGAGGCGCAAGCUUCUGCUGAUGGAUGGACCCGCUGUGCAUUAGCUAGUUGGUGAGGUAACGGCUCACCAAGGCCGUGAUGCAUAGCCGACCUGAGAGGGUGAUCGGCCACAUUGGGACUGAGACACGGCCCAAACUCCUACGGGAGGCAGCAGUAGGGAAUCUUCCGCAAUGGACGCAAGUCUGACGGAGCAACGCCGCGUGAGUGAAGAAGGUUUUCGGAUCGUAAAACUCUGUUGUUAGAGAAGAACAAGUGCUAGAGUAACUGUUAGCACCUUGACGGUAUCUAACCAGAAAGCCACGGCUAACUACGUG